AGAUUUCUUCGGGGCAGGGUGUAAUUCCCGACCGAUGGUGACAGUCGCCGUACUUACGGGUACGGUUGACUGAAGUCCGUGACCCACGGUUUUCCGUGGUUGACCCAGUGCGAGUCUGGGACCGACAGUUAAAGUCUGGAUGGGAGAAGAAAAAA
rnacentral:ncRNA from 2 species